AAGAAGUUAGUUUAUACAAAACAUAAUCUUGUCAAGAUUAAAAAAUUAUUCCAAUACUCCUUA
rnacentral:tRNA from 1 species